rnacentral:rRNA from 1 species
CGCUGGCGGCGUGCCUAAUACAUGCAAGUAGAACGCACAGUUUAUACCGUAGCUUGCUACACCAUAGACUGUGAGUUGCGAACGGGUGAGUAACGCGUAGGUAACCUGCCUGGUAGCGGGGGAUAACUAUUGGAAACGAUAGCUAAUACCGCAUAAUAUUGAUUAUUGCAUGAUAAUUAAUUGAAAGGUGCAAUUGCACCACUACCAGAUGGACCUGCGUUGUAUUAGCUAGUAGGUGAGGUAACGGCUCACCUAGGCGACGAUACAUAGCCGACCUGAGAGGGUGAUCGGCCACACUGGGACUGAGACACGGCCCAGACUCCUACGGGAGGCAGCAGUAGGGAAUCUUCGGCAAUGGACGAAAGUCUGACCGAGCAACGCCGCGUGAGUGAAGAAGGUUUUCGGAUCGUAAAGCUCUGUUGUAAGAGAAGAACGGGUGUGAGAGUGGAAAGUUCACACUGUGACGGUAUCUUACCAGAAAGGGACGGCUAACUACGU